CUGCCUGAAAGCAGACAAGAGGAACAAAGUAUGCAUCUGUUUCUUGAAGAUAUCACUUCUUUUUUUUUUCCCCUUAUCAGUCUCUUCUUCACACUUUCACAUCCGUUAUUGUAUUUACUGGGUCCACAUUGUGUGUUUAUAGAUACAUUUGUAUCCUUGAGUUCCAAACAACAGAGAGGUACAAUUUUUAACUAGAUUUACUUUAGUUGUUUUGCUGUUGCAACACUAGCAUUUUAUGCUUGCCAUUUGCAGGAACAAGAAGGAGACAUAAUCCCUGUCUCCAAGGCAGUAUGAUCUCAGAUGCCAAACCUGGAAAUCUCAGGGCCCUUUAAUAGCUGUGCAAAGGUCUGAAGAUACGUGAAGAUGUGAUGGUGGUACUUGAAAUGGUAAGACCGAGGCUGCAUCUUCAUGUCUAUCUGCUUAGAAUGCUGCAAGACUUGUCUGGGCUGAUCUUGAACAAACCAGCUGGCAGACUGCAAGCAGUAGAGCUCAGGCCAGUAGGCUUGGUGACCAUUAUUGUGGAUACUUGGUAGUUCUCUUUAAGUAAUUUGCAUCCUGGUUAGUAGCUGUCAUCAUCUUUGUUCCAAAAUCUGCCAAAUGCUGGUCGGAAGUGGAGUGAAUACAACUUGUAGCUUCUUAAGGUAUUCUUAAGAACACUUGACAGAAUGGAUCCUUAUACCAAAAGUACAGCAUUCAGAGAAAGAAAUUAAUGCUCAGAUACAUAUUCUCUUGAGAAAGUAAAAUCAGACAUAAGGCAAUUGCUUAUGAGUUAUUAUUUGGUACACCUUAGUUUCAGAUUCUGGCCUUUAACUCUGUAAAUGUAUAGACAUGCAUAAUGAUCUGUGAAUCAUCCUAACAACGUUCUUGUUAUCAGAUUAUAAUAACGUUGGGCUGGUCCUGCAAAGGGAUAUUAUUACCCAGUAUUGAGAGCUAAGUUUUAUAUGAAAAAGCAGCUCAACACUCACCAGAAAGCCACUAACCAGCGUUAGCCAUAACAGUAAUCUAUCAGUACUUGCACUUGUGAACUAAAUGAAAGACUUGUGUUGCUCCUGUGGGAAGCAGAAGUCCUGUUCACAGCUGGGACACAGCAUAUAAUUCCAUCAAGGCCAAUACAACUUGUAUCACCACUUGAGUUUGGUUCUAUGGAAUUAUUACCUAAAAACUCCUCUUAAACCUAAACCCCGACCCCCCAUCAGUGGUUGCUCAUUUGCUAAGCAGAAAACUUAAGUGUUUUCCUGGUUGCAAAACCAUCAAAUGAACACAAAUGGCAUUAUGAGCUAGUAUGGUGUUUAGAUUGAAAAAUAUUUUGAGGUAGAUAAUACCUCCACCUCUCUAAAUCUUGUUGUAUGUCAGAAAGCUCUAUGGCUUCCCCAUGGAAAAAUAUUGCUAUCCUAUGAAUUUCAGCUAAAAUGAAGUGUCUAGGAAAUAACAAGACUUAUGGACACAGACACUGAACUCCUUUUAGACCACAACCCUUUAUCUCACUAAAAGUGGCACGUGGUGAGAUUAGUGAUGUGAUAACUCACACAACUCUGGUCUUCAAUGUGCUCCUUAGCCAUUUCUCAUCUCCAGCCACUCUGACUUGCAUUUCUUUUUCUCUGGAAAAUGUCAAAGAAUUCAUAGAUCAAAAAACAGGAGUUGACACAAAGAUAGAGGUGAUGGAUCUAAGAAAUGAUUGAAUUGAGGAAUUAGGUGGGAAGUAAGGAUUUAGAGUCCACAACUAUUCCCCUUAUGCAAAUUUCUCAAACUUCCUGCACUUACUACUAUUAGACUUGGCCAGUCUUUACUCAGAAGCCCACUGAUAUUUACAUCUUAGAGAUGAAAAGUGUUUAUUUCAUCAUUUGGAUGGGAUUUCUUCUCCAAUGUCAGUAGUAAAUCAAAGAAUUACCUAGUGUUAGGAAGCGCUGUGCUACUAAAAACAUUGCUUUGUCAUUGAAAUAUGUCCAUUAGUACUCCUGUGACUAGUCUGUUGAAUUAUAAACUAACGGAAUCUGAAUAACUGUCUUGCCAUACUGCAGGGAAAGGUAAUGUUGCUCCUGCUUAGUAUCACCUAAGGCUUUUGUGCCAAGGCAUCACACUGGAACUCGGUAUUGACUGAUAACUAACAGUGAAUUUAAAGUGCUGUCACAGUCAUCUUGCUCAGCUUCCAGACCCAGGUGGCCAAAGCAUGUAAGAAGAGAUCCACCAGAGAUGGCACAAAGCCAAGGGAUUUUUUUACCUUUUUUUUUUUAAUCUAUCCCUGUUUGUUUAGGACAGGAGAUAAAAUGUGUUUGUAAACCAGAGAGGUUGCUGCAGGUGCAGAGGACUCUGUUCCAGCUGGCAUUCGGAAAGAUCAGUUACCUACAUCAAAGCUGUUCUGCUGCCUUUGCUGUCUGGUUGCUUGUUUCUGAGGCUGCACAGGAACUCUACACACAAAGUGAAUUAAAAAGAGCAAGGUUCUGUGUUCAAUACCCUCUUCAAGUGGGCAAUCUAGUCAUUAACACCGACAUCCUAAGUUCUCUUAAAGCUGAUCAGGUCACGGGACAAUGUGAAAUGCUUUUGACAUUAAAAUGAGACUUGGCAAUGCUAUACUAUUCUCGAUUGAGAAAGCAAGUGAAUUCAUGUAAUCUGAUGCUAUAAUUUAUGUAGCUUGCAUUUCUUUUUAAGUUGUUGAUUUGGAAUGAAUGGAUUAAUACACAAACCAUCUGAGAUUGUUACUGAAUUUAUUGUAAUCAAUAUUACCCUGCAAUAUUUUCCUCUUGCCUGUGAAGCAUUAAAAUGCUAAAGGGUGCCAACACGUGGUGUUAGCAGGGUGUUAUGACAGGAAUACUACAAAUGUUUGUACAGGUUGUCACCAAUAUUUGAAGCCACUUGUAAAAACAGCACCUUAAUAUAACACAUUAUUACCAUACCCUA